AUUGAACGCUGGCGGAAUGCUUUACACAUGCAAGUCGAGCGGCAGCGCGGGGCAACCUGGCGGCGAGCGGCGAACGGGUGAGUAAUACAUCGGAACGUGCCCAGACGUGGGGGAUAACUACUCGAAAGAGUGGCUAAUACCGCAUACGAUCUAAGGAUGAAAGCGGGGAUCGCAAGACCUCGCGCGCUUGGAGCGGCCGAUGGCAGAUUAGGUAGUUGGUGGGGUUAAAGGCUUACCAAGCCCGCGAUCUGUAACUGGUCUGAGAGGAUGAUCAGCCACACUGGGACUGAGACACGGCCCAGACUCCUACGGGAGGCAGCAGUGGGGAAUUUGGACAAUGGGCGAAAGCCUGAUCCAGCCAUUCCGCGUGCAGGAUGAA
rnacentral:rRNA from 1 species